CCAGCAGCUGCGGUAAUUCCAGCUCCAAUAGCGUAUAUUAAAGUUGCUGCAGUUAAAAAGCUCGUAGUUGGAUUUCUGGCUUGGUGCGCCUGGCCCGCCAGCGUUAGCUGUGUGAGUGCCGGGACGCGCCUGCCAUCCUUCCAGAGAACGCCUCUACUCUUCAUUGAGCCGGAGACGCAAUCUGGAUCUUUUACUUUGAAAAAAUUAGAGUGUUUAAAGCAGGCUUUUGCUAUGAAUACAUUAGCAUGGAAUAAUAAUUUAGGACUUCGGUUCUAUUUUGUUGGUUUCUAGGACUGAAGUAAUGAUUGAUAGGGAUAGUUGGGGGUGCUAGUAUUCAGCGGCCAGAGGUG
rnacentral:rRNA from 1 species